AGGAAAGGAAGGAAGAAAAGAAGGAAAAAAAGAAAGAAAAGAAGGAAGAAAGAAAAAAGAGAGAAAAUGUGACUUGUUACCAUUAAAUAAGAUAUACUUGUCACAAGGUGCUUUGGGAACCUAUAAAAAAACUUUGCAAUAAUGACCCUGAAUUCACAAAGAAAUAGGACUCUUUCUGAAUAUUCAGUAGUAGAGAAUUAGGACGUCAGUGUGGAAGACAGCAACCACUUGGAAAACCAGGCUGUGUUUCCAGCUUGUUGGCAAAAGGUGAUGCCAAUACCUGAAUCUGCUGGACCAUGUUGCGAAGCUGUACCAGGAACUCCUUGGCUUCUUUGGCCCUGUCUGACAGUCCGUUCAGCGCCUGGGAGAGCUGGCUCUGCAAAGACAAAGAAAGGAACCAUGGAGCUAUAAUCAGAGGAAGCCGCAAUGAAGCCACACGUGGUUGUUUUCAGCAAGACCCCAAGUCAGAGAGUCAUCAGCCUCCUCAGAGUCCUCUUGUCUGAGGUUGGGCCAUUUAGCUGACAUUUGUACAUGUGGAUUCUGGUAACAGUGGUGUCCAAACUCCUUGGCACCGGGUUAGUUUUUCCUCUGAUGUGGUGAAAACUUCUAGCCAGGGCAGCCAAAGGCCCUCACCAGCUGAUACCUACCUAGAAUUUCCUCAUUUCAUUCAUUAAUUAAUAAUUUAUUUAAUACCUAUUAUUUACUAAGGACUAACAAAACAGAACAAUGAGUCAGAUAAUCUGAUUAUUAUCAACUUUACUUAGCCCAAAAGGCUACUGGCCUGGGAUUGGAGCAGAAAGAAUGAAGAGAGUGAGAACAGGACGAAGGAAGGAAGGAUUAGGUUCCGCUUCCCAGCUUCUCCCAAGUACAGCCCUGCUGCCCUAACUCCUCUCCACACUAGCCUCCUAAACCAAGGAGAGAUCAGGAGCUCAACCUGGGAGCAACUGUGGCAGAUGUUUCAGAACCUAUUUCUGGUGCUCAGCAAACAGGUAACGAAAUUGAAUCCGGCCUGACUAACCCCAAGUUGCCCGAGCUUCCGCCCAAGCUGCUAGGCAUGCCCAGACCAAACAUAGAGUCUCUCUCCUUUCCCCGCCAUAGAUAUCAUUGACGUGUCAUUUUUCCCUCAAUUUACUGUGAAUGUUGGAUGGAGACAAACUGGGACGAAUGAAAGGAAGCACUCUGGCUGUCUGGGAUCUGAAGUUACAGGCACCGGAUGGGUCAAAAGGGUCAGCCAAAGAAUUGGUACACAACAGAUGAGGCGGCAAACAAGCCAAGGCAGCUUGAUGGCCCAGAAAACGACCUUGCUGCCUCCCCGUUCAUCGCCCAGCCGGGGAACCAAAGCCAACUCCGCCUCCUCCCGGAGUUCCAAGGUAAACACAAAACACGGCAGGAAAGUGACCACUGAUGCCAUGGGAUUCUGAAGGAGGCCCCAAAGCCCUCCCCCCCCAGGAGAAUGAUAGUUUUUCUGAUGAAAUACUGAUUUUUGAGUCAUACUACGUUAGUGACAUUGUACAAUUAAAAAGUGAAAGAAAUUCUAA